rnacentral:rRNA from 1 species
CACCGGCAGCUCAAGUGGUGGCCAUUUUAUUGGGCCUAAAGCGUUCGUAGCCGGCCUGAUAAGUCUCUGGUGAAAUCCUACAGCUUAACUGUGGGAAUUGCUGGAGAUACUAUUAGGCUUGAGGUCGGGAGAGGUUAGCGGUACUCCCAGGGUAGGGGUGAAAUCCUAUAAUCCUGGGAGGACCACCUGUGGCGAAGGCGGCUAACUGGAACGAACCUGACGGUGAGUAACGAAAGCCAGGGGCGCGAAC